rnacentral:miRNA from 1 species
GGGAAGAUGAGAGGGGAGGAUGGAAGGGAGGAGUAACAAAAGUGAAAAUAAAAAUUAAAAACUAAAAAUCUAUUUGGAAUUGUUUUCACUUUCAAGUGUUUGUUUUCACUUUUGUUACUCCUUCCUCCCAUCCUCUCCUCUCAUUCUCUCU